AUGAGACAACUAAGACUUGCCCGUAAUAUGAGGGCUCAGAGUGAUCCCUGGUUUGCUGAUUACCUUCUCCGUGUCGGGAAUGGCACUAAAGAUACCGUGGAUGAUGAUUACAUACGGCUUCCAGAUGAGAUUUGUGUACCAUACACCGGCGACGCCACUGAUAUUAGUAAGCUUAUUGAAAGUGUUUUCCGGAUGAAUGUAGAUGAAAACCUCUUGGAUCCAAAUUACAUAACAUCCCGAGCAAUUUUGUCAACUCGGAAUGAGUACGUUGACAAGAUUAACAUGAGUAUGAUUGAGAGAUUUCCUAGGGAAGAGAUGAUGUACUACAGUUUUGAUCACGCGGAUGAUGAUCCACACAACUACUAUCCUGCAUAA
rnacentral:rRNA from 1 species